CUGGCGGCGUGCUUAACACAUGCAAGUCGAACGAAAAGAGGGAAAGAGCUUGCUCUUUCCGGAAUUGAGUGGCAAACGGGUGAGUAACACGUAAACAACCUGCCUUCAGGAUGGGGACAACAGACGGAAACGACUGCUAAUACCGAAUAAGUUCCAAGGGCCGCAUGGCCCAUGGAAGAAAAGGUGGCCUCUACCUGUAAGCUAUCGCCUGAAGAGGGGUUUGCGUCUGAUUAGCUGGUUGGAGGGGUAACGGCCCACCAAGGCGACGAUCAGUAGCCGGUCUGAGAGGAUGAACGGCCACACUGGAACUGAGACACGGUCCAGACUCCUACGGGAGGCAGCAGUGGGGAAUCUUCCGCAAUGGGCGAAAGUCUGACGGAGCAACGCCGCGUGAGUGAUGACGGCCUUCGGGUUGUAAAACUCUGUGAUCCGGGACGAAAAGGCAGAGUGCGAAGAACAAACUGCAUUGACGGUACCGGAAAAGCAAGCCACGGCUAACUACGUGCCAGCAGCCGCGGUAAUACGUAGGUGGCAAGCGUUGUCCGGAAUUAUUGGGCGUAAAGCGCGCGCAGGCGGCUUCCCAAGUCCCUCUUAAAAGUGCGGGGCUUAACCCCGUGAUGGGAAGGAAACUGGGAAGCUGGAGUAUCGGAGAGGAAAGUGGAAUUCCUAGUGUAGCGGUGAAAUGCGUAGAGAUUAGGAAGAACACCGGUGGCGAAGGCGACUUUCUGGACGAAAACUGACGCUGAGGCGCGAAAGCGUGGGGAGCAAACAGGAUUAGAUACCCCGGUAGUCCUGGCCGUAAACGAUGGGUACUAGGUGUAGGAGGUAUCGACCCCUCCUGUGCC
rnacentral:rRNA from 1 species